UCUCCGUUGGUGAACCAGCGGAGGGAUCAUUAUCGAGUUUACAACUCCCAAACCCAAUGUGAUCCAUACCAAACUGUUGCCUCGGCGGGGUCACGCCCCGGGUGCGUCGCAGCCCCGGAACCAGGCGCCCGCCGGAGGGACCAACCAAACUCUUUCUGUAGUCCCCUCGCGGACGUUAUUUUUACAGCUCUGAGCAAAAAUUCAAAAUGAAUCAAAACUUUCAACAACGGAUCUCUUGGUUCUG
rnacentral:misc_RNA from 1 species